rnacentral:misc_RNA from 1 species
CGCACCUUGCACUCUGUUUUGCAGAGUAUGCCUGUUUGAGAAUCUAUAGUAUUUUUCAACAUUUGUUGAAGAUUUGGAUCGUGUUGACAAACUGAUCUUAAUACUAUAUCUUUGAGUUGUUUGUAUGACGACGUACAUGAUCAGAGAGAUGAAGGGUUCGCCCAACUUCCUUUGUGAAUUGUGCUAGUAGAACAAUUGAAAGCCAACAUUUUUUAAAUCUUGGUCUCAAAUCAGGUAGGAAGACCCGCUGAACUUAA